rnacentral:piRNA from 1 species
UCCAGAAAGUUUCUGAAGCCUGGCUAAGCA